rnacentral:Y_RNA from 1 species
GAAGUCAGCAGGUACUUGAUUGUUCACAGUCAGUUACAGAUUGAACUCCUUGUUCUACUACUUCCCCCCUCCUCACUACUGCACUUGACUAGUCUAAA